CUACGGAAGGUGCAAGCGUUGUUCGGAUUUACUGGGCGUAAAGAGAGUGUAGGUUGUUUAUUAAGUCGGAUGUGAAAUCCCGGGGCUCAACCUCGGAACUGCAUUCGAUACUGGUAGACUAGAGUUCGGGAGGGGUAAGCGGAAUUCCGUGUGUAGCAGUGAAAUGCGUAGAUAUACGGAGGAACACCUGAGGCGAAGGCGGCUUACUGGACCGAUACUGACACUGAGACUCGAAAGCGUGGGUAGCAAACAGGAUUAGAAACCCGAGUAGUCC
rnacentral:rRNA from 1 species